rnacentral:rRNA from 1 species
AUUGAACGCUGGCGGCAGGCCUAACACAUGCAAGUCGAGCGGAUGAAGGGGGCUUGCUCCUGGAUUCAGCGGCGGACGGGUGAGUAAUGCCUAGGAAUCUGCCUGGUAGUGGGGGAUAACGUCCGGAAACGGGCGCUAAUACCGCAUACGUCCUGAGGGAGAAAGUGGGGGAUCUUCGGACCUCACGCUAUCAGAUGAGCCUAGGUCGGAUUAGCUAGUUGGUGGGGUAAAGGCCUACCAAGGCGACGAUCCGUAACUGGUCUGAGAGGAUGAUCAGUCACACUGGAACUGAGACACGGUCCAGACUCCUACGGGAGGCAGCAGUGGGGAAUAUUGGACAAUGGGCGAAGGCCUGAUCCAGCCAUGCCGCGUGUGUGAAGAAGGUCUUCGGAUUGUAAAGCACUUUAAGUUGGGAGGAAGGGCAGUAAGUUAAUACCUUGCUGUUUUGACGUUACCAACAGAAUAAGCACCGGCUAACUUCGUGCCAGCAGCCGCGGUAAUACGAAGGGUGCAAGCGUUAAUCGGAAUUACUGGGCGUAAAGCGCGCGUAGGUGGUUCAGCAAGUUGGAUGUGAAAUCCCCGGGCUCAACCUGGGAACUGCAUCCAAAACUACUGAGCUAGAGUACGGUAGAGGGUGGUGGAAUUUCCUGUGUAGCGGUGAAAUGCGUAGAUAUAGGAAGGAACACCAGUGGCGAAGGCGACCACCUGGACUGAUACUGACACUGAGGUGCGAAAGCGUGGGGAGCAAACAGGAUUAGAUACCCUGGUAGUCCACGCCGUAAACGAUGUCGACUAGCCGUUGGGAUCCUUGAGAUCUUAGUGGCGCAGCUAACGCGAUAAGUCGACCGCCUGGGGAGUACGGCCGCAAGGUUA